rnacentral:rRNA from 1 species
GAUGAACGCUGGCGGCGUGCCUAAUACAUGCAAGUCGAGCGAACAGACGAGGAGCUUGCUCCUCUGACGUUAGCGGCGGACGGGUGAGUAACACGUGGAUAACCUACCUAUAAGACUGGGAUAACUUCGGGAAACCGUAGCUAAUACCGGAUAAUAUAUUGAACCGCAUGGUUCAAUAGUGAAAGACGGUUUUGCUGUCACUUAUAGAUGGAUCCGCGCCGCAUUAGCUAGUUGGUAAGGUAACGGCUUACCAAGGCGACGAUGCGUAGCCGACCUGAGAGAGGGAGCUGAGACACUGGAACGUGAAAACGAUCCAGACUCCUACGAGAGGCAGCAGUAGGGAAUCGUCCGCAAUGGGCGAAAGCCUGACGGAGCAACGCAGCGAGAGUGAUGAAGGUAUUCGGAGCGUAAAACACUGUUAAUAGAGAAGAACAAAUGUGUAAGUAACUAUGCACGUCUUGAAGGUACCUAAUCAGAAAGCAACGGCUAAAUACGUG